CUCAGCUGACCACACCAACACUGAUGGACUGAAUACUUGCUCAGCCAUGUUCACCACUGCUCUGCUCACAGCAGCUAUGAAGUGAAGUCCAUGGCCUUCAUGCAAUGAAUGGACAGUAAAGAUGUGCUACAUACACACUAUGCCCUUUAUGGAUACCUCUCAGCUGGAAGAAGAUGAGCUCAUGGACAGGUCACCACUGAUGGGUCCUGGAAGGGAAUGUUUGGUGCCCUGUUGACGCAUGGAGCCACUGUAGUUCUUCAGACUCCUUCCAUAUGAAGCUCAGAAGUCACUCAGUUCUUCAUUUUCAGAAAAAAACAAAACAAAAACAGCUACAAUAUCAAAAAGCCCAAAGUGACAGGCAUAAGGGAUACUCCUUGAAUUCUAUUGUAAAGUUCUGGAUGAUUGGAAUUUUUUUCCAGGUCACCUGUCAUUAUUUACUUCAUGGGACAAACACUUGAUAGGCCAGUAAGACAUCAGAGCAUCUAGCAUAUCUGGGUCAGUGUCUGUUCUCAUUUUCCGGUGUCCCAGGCAAAAUUGAAAGUACCCAUCUCAUUAAGUGACAGAGAGUUAUUUCACUGGUAGUUGGCUCCAUUUUCCCCUAGGUCUACCAUUUUGUUACUUUAAGAAAAUUGCAGCUGGCUUCUUGCUCAGACUCAGUGUGGCAUCUAAUCUAUGGUAAAUCAUUCGCUCAACCAUGUCUACAGAGUAAAAGUAGUCUCUCGCAGGCCUGUAAUUUUCCUAGCAGUCUCCGUAUCUUAAAUGGAUCCCAGUUUCCCUCCAAGGAAAAGAGCUUUCAGAAAAUUGAUAUUUUUGAAGACUAGGCCUGCAGACUCAUUGGCUUAAAUAUGUCACAAGGGAAAAGGCUACACAUUUAAAAAGAUGAGAGUAACAUUUCUCCUCUGGGUCCAGGGAUUGUUAAUAGAUUUGAUUCUAGAAGUCAGCUAGGAGCUCUGUGUGUGUGUGUUGUAUAGAGGGACAGUAGAGCUGGAGGAGUUGGGAGACUAAAGAAGAGGACAGCCUGGUAGCCUGACAGCAUGGCUUUCCAAGUCCUGAGCAUCACUGCAUUUUGAAACAUUACCAGACACUUCAGAAUUUAAUAUAACCAAUGAAGUAUGGCCAAUGUACUCUUGGAGAGCAGCCCAUCUCUAUACAACACACUAAGACCAUUCCAGCAUCUCUAUACAAUAUACUAGGCCCAUUCCAGCA